rnacentral:rRNA from 1 species
CCUACGGGGGGCAGCAGUGGGGAAUAUUGGGCAAUGGGCGCAAGCCUGACCCAGCAACGCCGCGUGAAGGAAGAAGGCUUUCGGGUUGUAAACUUCUUUUCUCAGGGACGAAGCAAGUGACGGUACCUGAGGAAUAAGCCGCGGCUAACUACGUGCCAGCAGCCGCGGUAAUACGUAGGUGGCAAGCGUUAUCCGGAUGUACUGGGUGUAAAGGGCGGGUAGGCGGGAAGGCAAGUCAGAUGUGAAAACCAUGGGCUCAACCUGUGGCCUGCAUUUGAAACUGUUUUUCUUGAGUACUGGAGAGGCAGACGGAAUUCCUAGUGUAGCGGUGAAAUGCGUAGAUAUUAGGAGGAACACCAGUGGCGAAGGCGGUCUGCUGGACAGCAACUGACGCUGAGGCGCGAAAGCGUGGGGAGCAAACAGGAUUAGAUACCCGAGUAGUC